rnacentral:rRNA from 1 species
CAAAAACUUAGUCUCAGUUCGGAUUNUAGGCUGAAACUCGCCUACAUGAAGCUGGAGUUGCUAGUAAUCGCGAAUCAGCAUGUCGCGGUGAAUACGUUCCCGGGCCUUGUACACACCGCCCGUCACACCAUGAGAGUUGGCAAUACCCAACGUACGUGAUCUAACCCGCAAGGGAGGAAGCGUCCUAAGGUAGGGUCAGCGAUUGGGGUGAAGUCGUAACAAGGUAAC